UAUUUCCGCUAAGUCCUCACUCAACUCACCUCCCAGAAGGUUUCCACACUGCAUGAUCCAUUGAACCUCACGGAAUCACUUCUCUUCUGAUGAGCUGCCUCCAGGAGCUGUGGAGGGUGAAACCAGAGAGGAUGCCAAGGUCUCCAUAAUAGCCCACCAGGUCAGAUGCUCACCUCUUGGGCCCUGGAAAACAGGACACAACAGAGAAAGCAGUAUAAGCAACGGUUAAAAUAACCAGGUCUUUGAUCAAUUAAGAAAAUUGAAUCUUCUCAAUAUUAAAAGAG